rnacentral:rRNA from 2 species
GGUACGCGAGCUGGGUUCAGCAACGUCGUGAGACAGGUUCGGUCCCUAUCCGUCGCGGGCGUAGGAAAUUUGAGAGGAGCUGUCCGUUAGUACGAGAGGACCGGGAUGGACGCACCGCUGGUGUACCAGUUGUCCCGCCAGGGGCACAGCUGGGUAGCUAUGUGCGGAAGGGAUAAGCGCUGAAAGCAUCUAAGCGUGAAGCCCCCCUCAAGAUGAGAUUUCCCAUCGCGUCAAGCGAGUAAGAUCCCUUGAAGAUGACAAGGUAGAUAGGUCCGAGGUGGAAGCGUGGCGACACGUGUAGCUGACGGAUACUAAUCGAUCGAGGACUUAACUAAA